rnacentral:rRNA from 1 species
CGUGUAGGCGGUAUGGCAAGCGGCGUGUGAAAUCCCGGGGCUCAACCCCGGAACUGCACACCGAACUGCCGUACUAGAGGACAGGAGGGGGAUGUGGAACUCUAAGUGUAGCGGUGAAAUGCGUAGAUAUCUAGAGGAACGCCGGUGGCGAAAGCGACAUCCUGGCCUGUAUCUGACGCUGAGGCGCGAAAGCGUGGGUAGCAAACA